rnacentral:rRNA from 2 species
AUUACCGCGGCUGCUGGCACGAAGUUAGCCGGGGCUUCUUCUCCGGAUACCGUCAUUAUCUUCUCCGGUGAAAGAGCUUUACAACCCUAGGGCCUUCAUCACUCACGCGGCAUGGCUGGAUCAGGCUUGCGCCCAUUGUCCAAUAUUCCCCACUGCUGCCUCCCGUAGG